rnacentral:rRNA from 1 species
UACGAUGAAGAGUUUGAUCCUGGCUCAGGAUGAACGCUAGCGGCAGGCCUAACACAUGCAAGUCGAACGGUAACA